GAAGAGUUUAGUCCCGGUUCUGUGCAUCCAGCCGGGGGUGAAGCCGUUAUUCAUUCUGGCAUUUAGCCGGAGAUGACCUAAUUGGACGUUGUCCGCGCCGGCCUUUGAGUCGUUUCACCAGUCUCAUUGACGUCCUCACGUUGGCACGAUCCUGACAUGUCACAGAGAAUAAGCCCGGUUCAAGUAGUGUCAGGCCAGUGGGGGACGGUAUCCUGCGAGUCUCGGAGUUUGAAGAGAUUCAUUUCUCUCCUGGAAAUCAGCCCUGUCAAGGCUGGCUUUCAGUGCUCCUCCUGCACGCCUCAUACACCGCGCUAGGCGCUGAGUGUAAAGCAGAGAACAAAAGAGGUGAAAUACUUGUUCCCAUGAAGCUAAAAUUCUAGUGCCUGACACAGAAUGUGACAUUAUGGCUGUAGCUCCAGCAUCCGUGUUAGACAGUGAAGUGACUUGAACCAUGAUGGAGCGUGAAGAUGCGAGGCUGGGUCUCCUUUGCUUCGUGGAGCUGCCAUGUCAAGCAUGGACUAUCACAUCUGGACUUGUUUUACAGGAGAAAAUAAAUCUUUACAUGUUGCAGCUACUGUUAUUUUAGGGUUUUCUGUUAUUGUAGCUGAACCUAAUCCUGACACAAUAUGACCUAAGUAACCAAGAGAAACUUUCCAUGAAGGAAACUUCU